rnacentral:rRNA from 1 species
UACGGAGGGUGCAAGCGUUAAUCGGAAUUACUGGGCGUACAGGGUGCGUAGGUUGUCUGUUAAGUUAUUUGUGAAAUCCCUGGGCUUAACCUGGGCAGGUCAGAUAAUACUGAUAGACUCGAGUAUGGGAGAGGGUAGUGGAAUUUCCGGUGUAGCGGUGAAAUGCGUAGAGAUCGGAAGGAACACCAGUGGCGAAGGCGGCUACCUGGCCUAAUACUGACACUGAGGCACGAAAGCGUGGGGAGCAAACAGG